GACAGAGGGUGCAAACGUUGUUCGGAAUUACUGGGCGUAAAGCGCGUGUAGGUGGCAAGGCAAGUCGGGUGUGAAAGCCCUGGGCUCAACCCAGGAAGUGCACUCGAUACUGCCUCGCUAGAGUCCCGGAGAGGUUGGUGGAACGUCUCGGUGUAGAGGUGAAAUUCGUAGAUAUCGAGAAGAACACCGGUGGCGAGGCG
rnacentral:rRNA from 1 species